rnacentral:antisense_RNA from 1 species
AGUGGCCUCGCAGCUGGGGCAAGGGGGACAUCCCCGGCGCCGGGGAGCUGCGAGCGGAGCGAGCGCCCGGGGCGCACCUGAGCCUCCAGCACUCCCCGCGGCCGCGGAAACAUUUUCCUGGGCAUCUAAAAGUAUUGUGGACCUGAGACACUGUGCUUACAGGGCCUACUGGUUUUCACUGUAUGAGACUGAGAAUGGAUUACGGCAGUUCCUCUUACCUCCGCUGCAUACUUGACUCCAUCCACGGUGUGCUCAGAGCCAUGAUCAUCCGAAGAGCCCCAGUGAAGAUGAAACUGGCGAAGUCGGUAGGGUCCAGGGAGAGGACCCCCUCUCAGCACUGUGAUUCAGAUAAGCUUGGUCAACAGUGAAUUCAUGCUUCUUUUACAGAGCUCUACUUUAACCAAGUGCUCUUAGAGCCAAGGCUUAAUGGACAAAAUGUGGUCAGUUUGCUGGGUGGAUGGUGCCACUCCCAGGACACUGGACUCCUCACAAAAUGAAGUCUAGGGAUAUGUCAAGAUAAAUGAUUGUUCUUUUCUGUCUUUCUUAUUUUGUUUGCUUG